AGUGACAGGUGGUGCAUGGUUGUCGUCAGCUCGUGUCGUGAGAUGUUGGGUUAAGUCCCGCAACGAGCGCAACCCUUAAGGUUAGUUGCCAUCAUUAAGUUGGGCACUCUAAGGUGACUGCCGGUGACAAACCGGAGGAAGGUGGGGAUGACGUCAAAUCAUCAUGCCCCUUAUGACUUGGGCUACACACGUGCUACAAUGGACAAUACAAAGGGCCGCGAAACCGUGAGGUCAAGCUAAUCCCAUAAAGCCGAUCUCAGUUCGGAUUGUAGUCUGCAACUCGCCUACAUGAAGUCGGAAUCGCUAGUAAUCGUAGAUCAGCAUGCUGCGGUGAAUACGUUCCCGGGCCUUGUACACACCGCCCGUCACACCACGAGAGUU
rnacentral:rRNA from 1 species